UACGUAGGGUGCAAGCGUUAAUCGGAAUUACUGGGCGUAAAGCGUGCGCAGGCGGUUCGCUAAGACCGAUGUGAAAUCCCCGGGCUUAACCUGGGAACUGCAUUGGUGACUGGCGGGCUAGAGUAUGGCAGAGGGGGGUAGAAUUCCACGUGUAGCAGUGAAAUGCGUAGAGAUGUGGAGGAAUACCGAUGGCGAAGGCAGCCCCCUGGGCCAAUACUGACGCUCAUGCACGAAAGCGUGGGGAGCAAACAGGAUUAGAUACCCUGGUAGUCCACGCCCUAAACGAUGUCAACUAGUUGUCGGGUCUUCAUUGACUUGGUAACGUAGCUAACGCGUGAAGUUGACCGCCUGGGGAGUACGGUCGCAAGAUUAAAACUCAAAG
rnacentral:rRNA from 1 species